GGAAUAUUGGGCAAUGGAGGAAACUCUGACCCAGCGACGCCGCGUGCGGGAUGAAGGCCUUCGGGUUGUAAACCGCUUUCAGCAGGGAAGAAGCGAAAGUGACGGUACCUGCAGAAGAAGCACCGGCUAACUAUGUGCCAGCAGCCGCGGUAAUACAUAGGGUGCAAGCGUUGUCCGGAAUUAUUGGGCGUAAAGAGCUCGUAGGUGGUUCGUCACGUCGGAUGUGAAAAUCUGGGGCUUAACCCCAGACCUGCAUUCGAUACGGUCGGACUGGAGUGUGGUAGGGGAGACUGGAAUUCCUGGUGUAGCGGUGGAAUGCGCAGAUAUCAGGAGGAACACCAAUGGCGAAGGCAGGUCUCUGGGCCAUUACUGACACUGAGGAGCGAAAGCGUGGGGAGCGAACAGGAUUAGAUACCCUGGUAGUCCACGCCGUAAACGAUGGGCACUAGUUGUGGAAACCUUCCACGGUUUCUGCGACGCAGCUAACGCAUUAAGUGCCCCGCCUGGGGAGUACGAUCGCAAGAUUAAAACUCAAAUGAAUUGACGG
rnacentral:rRNA from 1 species